GUCGAACGAAGCAUAUAAAAGGAAUUUCUUCGGAGAGGAAUUUUAUCUUACUGAGUGGCGGACGGGUGAGUAACGCGUGGGCAACCUACCCCACACAGGGGGACAACAGUUGGAAACGACUGCUAAUACCGCAUAGGCGCACAGCUUCGCAUGAAGCAGUGUGGAAAACCGAGGUGGUGUGGGAUGGGCCCGCGUCUGAUUAGCUGGUUGGCGGGGUAACGGCCCACCAAGGCGACGAUCAGUAGCCGGCCUGAGAGGGUGGACGGCCACAUUGGGACUGAGACACGGCCCAAACUCCUACGGGAGGCAGCAGUGGGGAAUAUUGCACAAUGGGGGAAACCCUGAUGCAGCGACGCCGCGUGAGCGAAGAAGUAUUUCGGUAUGUAAAGCUCUAUCAGCAGGGAAGAAAAUGACGGUACCUGACUAAGAAGCCCCGGCUAAAUACGUGCCAGCAGCCGCGGUAAUACGUAUGGGGCAAGCGUUAUCCGGAUUUACUGGGUGUAAAGGGAGCGCAGGCGGCUUGGCAAGUCUGAUGUGAAAGGCUGGGGCUCAACCCCAGGACUGCAUUGGAAACUGUUAGGCUGGAGUGUCGGAGAGGUAAGCGGAAUUCCUA
rnacentral:rRNA from 1 species